GACAACUUAGGUCAAGCUGGAAGCCCUAUUACUACCCGCUCCCUGAUUUCUCAAGUCAUUCUAGGACUUGAUGAGGAAUACAAUCCAGUUGUGGCUAUGAUCCAAGGACGGGCAUGGAUAACUUGUGAAUAUGAACACAACCAAGGGUCACACCUUCUCUAGUGGUCAAAAACAAAAUCAUCGUUCAACAGCCACCAAAGCUCUAGCAGUAACUCGAGAAGAGGAAAUGGUUUCGGAAGAGGCCAAGGAAGAUGGAAUGGAAACAAUAAUCGUCUUAUUUGCUAGGUUUGUGGAAAAAUUGGACACACUACUUUUGUUUGUUAUCAUCAUUUUGAAAAGCAAUUUUCUCCAUCUAACCAAUCCAUCGGGAGAAGCCCAAAUCUCUUUGCAAAAAAUCAGAACAGUGGUCCAAAUAAUAGUGGCACAUCUCCAAGUGCUACCCAGGCGUUCAUGACUGCACAGAAGGGAAGUUCAAAUAUGUUUGUUGCUAAUCCCGAGUCUGUUGCUGAUCCCAACUGGUACGUUGAUAGUGGAGCUACAAACCAUGUUAGUGCUAACUAUCACAAUGUGAUGAAUCCAACGAAAUACAGUGGACACACGUACGGGCACGGUGGUCAUGAAGGGAGUGCUUAAAAAUGGGUUAUAUCAACUUGAACUUGCAAGAGCCACCGGUAGUGCUUCAAGUUUUUUCAGAAAAUCGCUUGGAGUCGGUCAACAAUUUUGUUGCCUGCAAUGUGUUUUCUUCUGUAAAUAUAUAGCAGUGACCAAAACUGUUUGGCAUCGAAGGCUUGGUCACCCCUCUUUACGGACUUUAAAUAUUGUUGUCAGGAAAUGUAAUCUACCAGUGUAGACCAAUGAAAACUUUUCUUUCUGUGAUGUAAGUAUGGAAAAAUACAUGCUCUUCCAUUCCCUCAUUCUAGUACUCAUGCUACUGCCCCUUUUGAAUUAAUUCACACUGAUCUUGAGGGUCUUGCACAUGUUUCAUCCACAGAAGGUCUUGGAUACUAUGUUCAUUUUUGGACGACUUUGGUAGGUUUGUUUGGAUUUAUCCUCUCAAGCUUAAGAGUGAUACUAUUACUGCAUUUAAUCACAUUAUUGCCAUGGUAAAAACUCAGUUUCAAACAUCUAUCAUGAGCCUGCAAUCUGAUAAUGGAGGUGAAUAUGUAAAAGUUCAUCAAUUAUGUACUCAGUUGGGAAUUAAGUUACGUUACUCCUGUCCGUACACCUCAAUUCAAAAUGAUCGGAUCGAAAGAAAGCAUCGCCAUAUCGUUGAGACUGACUUAACUUUGCUUGCUCAGGCAUCCAUGCCCCUAAAUUACAAUUACAAGUGGGAUGCUUUUCAAACAUCCACGGUACUAAUAAAUGGUCUUCCAACACCUGUUCUGCAUGGUAAAUCACCCUUAGAGUUAUUGCAUCAUAAACAAAUUAAUUAUUCUGAGUUGAGAACUUUUGGUUGUGCCUGCUUUCCAUUUCUCAGACCGUUCAACGCUCACAAAUUUUCCUUCAAAUCAGAGAAGUGUCUAUAUUUGGGUCUCAACUCACUUCACAAAGGCCACAAAGGUUUGGGUCUAGAUUUUUAUUUCCAGGCAUGUUGAGUUUAAUGAAGGUGAAUUUCCUUUUGCAGAUGGAUUUCGAAUUCUUGAUUCUUAUGUAUAGCAGCAUCUACCAACCUCCAGUCCAUUCCUUA